rfam:Triticum urartu cultivar G1812 contig1104278, whole genome shotgun sequence.
GUAGUACUUCCUCUGUCCGAAAAUACUUGUCAUCAAAAUGAACAAAAAAAGACAUAUCUCAAACACGUCUUUUUUUGUUCAUUUUGAUGACAAGUAUUUCCGGACAAAGGGAGUACGUA